GAGGGUAGCACUUCAGUGCUCUAGUUCUAAUUGUAGAUUGACUGAUCGAUUUGUCUUCUGUACUAUUGUUUGACUUUUCCGCUCCUCAUCUUUUCCGGCCCCCAGUUAUGCGGCCAUUUUUCAGCCCGGCCAAGUGUUGAGGAGACAAGAAGAGGCACUGAGAAUGGAGGUAGAGGCGUACUAUGCUGCUAAGAAGGCCACUCAGUGUGACUAUGACCGUGUGACUCUUUAACCCCUCAGUUCCAUUAGGAUAACUGGGGGCCGGAAAAGAUAAGCCUACUAUGCUGCUAAGAAAGAGAGGGGCCUCACGUAAACUGGCCACUCAGUGUGACUAUGAUCAUGUGACUCUUUAACCCCUCAGUUCCCGAGCCCCACCCCUCACUGUCUGACUCGGAAGAGGAGAUAGACUUUGUAUUCUGGGAGAAGGCGUCCACCCUACCCUCGGACAAGACCCCAACCAAGGACCUGAACUUGUUAUGAGACUGUUAAAUAUUAUUUUGUCUGUUUUUGUACUAUUUUCUGGCAAUGUAAUUAUGUAUGUACCACUUCAUGUCAUCAUAAUAACUUUAUAUGCGAUAAAAUUCUGUUGCAAC